rnacentral:rRNA from 1 species
CCGCAUGGCGGAAGGUGGAAAGUUCCGGCGGAGAAGGAUGGGCUCGCGGCCUAUCAGCUUGUUGGCGGGGUAACGGCCCACCAAGGCGACGACGGGUAGCCGGCCUGAGAGGGUGACCGGCCACACUGGGACUGAGACACGGCCCAGACUCCUACGGGAGGCAGCAGUGGGGAAUAUUGGACAAUGGGCGAAAGCCUGAUCCAGCAACGCCGCGUGAGGGUAGAAGGCCUUCGGGUUGUAAACCUCUUUCAGCAGGGACGAAGCGCAAGUGACGGUACCUGCAAAAGAAGGACCGGCCAACUACGUGCCAGCAGCCGCGGUAAUACGUAGGGUCCGAGCGUUGUCCGGAAUUAUUGGGCGUAAAGGGCUCGUAGGCGGUUUGUCGCGUCGGGAGUGAAAACUCAGGGCUUAACCCUGAGCGUGCUUCCGAUACGGGCAGACUAGAGGUAUGCAGGGGAGAACGGAAUUCCUGGUGUAGCGGUGGAAUGCGCAGAUAUCAGGAGGAACACCGGUGGCGAAGGCGGUUCUCUGGGCAUUACCUGACGCUGAGGAGCGAAAGCAUGGGGAGCGAACAGGAUUAGAUACCCUGGUAGUCCAUGCCGUAAACGUUGGGCGCUAGGUGUGGGGACCUUCCACGGUUUCCGUGCCGCAGCUAACGCAUUAAGCGCCCCGCCUGGGUAGUACGGCCGCAAGGCUAAAACUCAAAGGAAUUGACGGGGGCCCGCACAAGCGGCGGAGCAUGCUGAUUAAUUCGAUGCAACGCGAAGAACCUUACCUGGGUUUGACAUAUACCGGAAAGC